AGCACUAACUUUGGGUCUGGUGAA
rnacentral:siRNA from 1 species